rnacentral:rRNA from 1 species
AAACUUUCAACAACGGAUCUCUUGGUUCUGGCAUCGAUGAAGAACGCAGCGAAAUGCGAUAAGUAAUGUGAAUUGCAGAAUCUAGUGAAUCAUCGAAUCUUUGAACGCACAUUGCGCCCCGUGGCUUCCGCGGGGCAUGCCUGUCCGAGCGUC